AGAGAAUCAGAGGUAGGAAGGUAUGUAAGAAGCAGGUUAACAGGGAAAAGAGAAGGCACAAGGUCUCCAGAUAGAAAACAUAAGGUUCUUUGAUCCUGUUGAUUGCCAGCAAAAUGGAGAAGCAACUUACAGCUCCCUGCUGAGAGUGUAACUCUAGCCAACAUUUUGUUAAGUACCCUGGUUUCAUAAUAUGAAUGUGGAUGAUCCCUCAAACCUUAGCCUGUCAGCACAAAGGUCACAGAAGGGUCACCAGAUCCUCUCUGCCCUCCAGGCAGGUCUUGAUAUAAGACAAUUUUAACCAUAUCUCCUAUGUGGCACCCUACAAAGCUUGAGAAAGAAAAUAAAGCCAACACCAUGGGCCAUCUAGAAUCCACAUGUUAAGAGUAUAUCAAAGAAACUGGAGAUUUCCAGAUUGAAAUGCGCACACUGCAGACUCUUCUCCAUACUACAGAAAACAAAUCUCAAAAUUUCUGCAUGCCCUGAAGUGGAUGCUGCUGAUCUUCUAGUUUAACACUAAUGACUGAAAUAAAAAGAUUUUCAUUUUA